GGGAGGCAAAAACAUUCAUACUGGAGAGGAUUUGAAGGCAUGAACAAGGAUUGACACGAAAAUUUACAAGAUUUCUUCAGGAUUUCUUCAAGUUUUGAUAACCCGGUGAUGUAUUUUAUUCAAAACUUGAUAGAUUUUGUUAUUUUUAUCAUGAUAGGCUAGAUUUCUGUAAUUAGGUGAUCGAUGAACCAUGUAAUUAUUAUUAAAC
rnacentral:lncRNA from 1 species